UACGAAGGGGGCUAGCGUUGCUCGGAAUGACUGGGCGUAAAGGGCGCGUAGGCGGUUUGUCCAGUCAGGUGUGAAAUUCCCGGGCUCAACCUGGGGGCUGCACUUGAUACGUAGGAACUGGAGUGGGGAAGAGGGUCGUGGAAUUCCCAGUGUAGAGGUGAAAUUCGUAGAUAUUGGGAAGAACACCGGUGGCGAAGGCGGCGACCUGGUCCUUGACUGACGCUGAGGUGCGAAAGCGUGGGGAGCAAACAGG
rnacentral:rRNA from 1 species